UAAUGUAUGGGGAUCUGCCCGAUAGAGGGGAAUAACUACUGGAAACGGUGGCUAAUACCGCAUAAUGUCUACGGACCAAAGCAGGGGCUCUUCGGACCUUGCACUAUCGGAUGAACCCAUAUGGGAUUAGCUAGUAGGUGGGGUAAAGGCUCACCUAGGCGACGAUCUCUAGCUGGUCUGAGAGGAUGAUCAGCCACACUGGGACUGAGACACGGCCCA
rnacentral:rRNA from 1 species